CAGCAGCCGCGGGAAUACAGAGGGUGCGAGCGUUAAUCGGAUUUACUGGGCGUAAAGCGUGCGUAGGCGGCUUUUUAAGUCGGAUGUGAAAUCCCUGAGCUUAACUUAGGAAUUGCAUUCGAUACUGGGAAGCUAGAGUAUGGGAGAGGAUGGUAGAAUUCCAGGUGUAGCGGUGAAAUGCGUAGAGAUCUGGAGGAAUACCGAUGGCGAAGGCAGCCAUCUGGCCUAAUACUGACGCUGAGGUACGAAAGCAUGGGGAGCAAACAGGAUUAGAGACCCCAGUAGUCCCUGUCUCUUAUAU
rnacentral:rRNA from 1 species